CAUACGAAACGACCUGAUGGUGCAGCAGCGGCGGUAGCGGCGUGAGAGAGAGAGAGAGGAGAAAAGGCAAAAUGGAGGAAGACUUGGUGGAAAAUGAGGAUGGACGGAGAGAGAGAGAGAGAGAGAGAGAGAGAGAGAGAGAGAGAGAUGACUCGACUCCAAUGGAAUGAAGGGGGGAUUGAUCCCUCUAGCUGACGAUGAUUCACUGCAACCGCCGAUGGGAAGCACCGCCCAGCCAUUCGUCCAGAUCGAGCUCUCUGCCGUUCGUUGCUUCCAGCACCCACCGAAUGUGCUGCGUCCUCUGAGCAGAAGGCGUUCGGUGAAUUGCGCAAGAGAGAAACUGAGGGUGAGACGAUUUUUGAUUUUGAAACAACAAACAGAGUGAGAUACGCCUAGAGAAAUCUCCACAGACGGCCGGUUCCUCGUGACAAUCAGGCGAUGACGGAAUUUCUCGAUCAACAGUCACACUUACCCGGUCGUUUCCAUCUCCGAUUGAACUCUAGAAAUAUUUUAGAUUCAUCCCAAAUUUGUCUGUUGACUUCUGUUUCGGCUUUUGUUUUCUCCCAUUCUCUCGCGGUGUUCCGAAUUUCCAUUGCCGUCGGUUGCACUGUGGAGCAGGAAUCGAGUUCGCAAGGAAGGUGUUCGAUGGAAUGACGAAGCCGGACUCUGUUCUGAAGAAUACCUUUUCAAGAGAGAGAGAACCAGCGAGCUUUAUCUGGCGGCGAGAGCAAGUUCAAGUUCGAGAGCGCAAGAUGUCAAUUCUCAGACGAAAGCCGAAGGCUCGGAUGCUGUGUAGUGUUGAGAGAGGUUGCGGAAGAGUUGUGCUGCAGCGACGCGGUUACAGAGUUAUGCUACUGCGGUGAAAGAGACGACUGUGAGAGAGGCUCUGAAUACAGCGCUUGAUAAGGAAAUGCCUGUAGAUACUAGAGUCAAUCUAAUGGGUGAGGAGGUCGGAGAAUACCAAGGAGCCUUUCAAGGUGUCUUGAAGGUUCUUUUGCAGAAGUAUGGACCUGAGAGGGUUGUUGAUGCUCCUAUCACAGAGGCUGGUUUCACUGGAGUUGAAGUCGAGCCUACAAGGUGUCUUUAGUUUCAAGAGGAGCUGCAGCAGGAGUUGUUGCCCGACACUCCCAAGCCCUGCGAGGACGUCGCCAUCCCAUCUGGAGGAAGCUUUACCGGAUCUGGUCUCGUUAAAUCACUCAUCACCCUCAGGAUCUAUCGGACACGAGAAUCGUCCAUGGCGUACGAAAUGAGAGUUGUUCAUGAACUGUGUAACAUCUCUGGUAUGUUCCUCCAACCAAAGUUCUUCCUCAUCCUCUUGCUUUUCAGAUUUGUCGUCACUAAUUUCUGAUGCAGUGGGUUAGUUGCUUUAUUUGAAUGCGUUGUUGUCGGGGAGUGGAUAGUUGGCAUGGCCGCAAAUUUUAUUGGUGUUUGCUCAAGUCUCCUUUUCGGUUGCUAUCAUUACGGUAUCAACAUAAAGCACAGAAAGAUGAGGUAUACAAAAUAACGUAGGCGCAGGAUGGGACCAUUGUUAUUACUCUGAUUAACUCAGCUUGUAAUGUUUGGUAUUAGCCUCAGAAAGCGUCACGUCUCCUUCGUCCUUUUCCUGCCUUCUUUUGUUCGAAAGGUGCAGUGUAGGAAAAUGGUGAACUCCUGAAGCUCACUCCUGGGCAACAUCGUUGAUUAUGGGCCCUUUGCUGCAUUUGUUUCUCUUGUAUGCAUGUAUUUAGUAACAGCAGAUUAGAGCAUGCAGACUCUCUGGAAAUACAAAUCAUGGAGAUCUGAGGAAGUAUCUUUGUGGAUAUUUCGACACUACAUGGGGGAAAAAGCACAGUUAUGUAAAGAUACUUGAGUCAUGAGUAGUCGAUAAGCCAUCAGAGGUAUUAUUUGUGAUUGUUGUCUAACAAGAAGCUGUAACUGAUGUCUUUCUCUUGCAAAUGCCCGCCAAUCGGCAGAGAAGGACAGAUACUACGUCCCUCUGGCCCGUCCAAGGCUCCUAAUGAGCUUCACUGCCCACAGAUCUAUCCGAAUACUGAAGAGAUGAUAUUUGUUUGUUUUCCUGAAUAUGUUGCUUGGCGAAUCCAACCGGAGCACCUUGGACAUGUACAUGUUUUGAACAGCUUAUACUUGAAAAUUGUUAAAUUGAACAUGAGAUACAACAGCGAUGAUUUAAGUUCCA